GGAGUACUUAAGCUAAAUAAAGUCUUAUUGGGUUAUUGCUUCAGUCAUUGAUAGUCAUAUUAAUAGGUUUUCUGCCCCUAACUUUUGUUGUACUUUAGCUAAAUGGCUGUUCUACCCCUGAAAAUAAUGGCAUAUGCUUGGUGUGUUUGCCAAAUGAGUUUCAUGUGUGUAACACAAUGUCUCGUUGAGUUCAGGGAGUUUUAUGUUGUUU